rnacentral:lncRNA from 1 species
UUUCCUCCCUGCCCCCAUGCUGCCGCUCUAUCAUGCUCUUCGCCAUUUGCUACCGGUUGUUCUCUCGCUGGUGCCAACGCUGUCCACGGAGCCGCUCUAGGCUGUUGGGAGGCCGUCCGCAUUGCGUGGGGAAGAUUUGGACGACACAGUCGCCUCGCCGGUCCCCGGGGCAGCUAGCGCUUCCAGGGUCGGAGGGUGCGCGGGGUUGAAAGCGGGCCGCUCCGCCCCGUCCCCCUCCCAGACCAGCAGAGGCAGCAGCCAGAGCAGCCGCAGCCUGCGCCCUCUCCCGCCUGCCCUUCACUCGCCCCGGGGUCUCUUUCCCCCUUCCUCCUCCUUCUCCUCCUCCUCCACCCCCUCCCCUUCCUCCUCCGCCCACCCCUAUUGUUCCGCCCCGGCCUCCCGCACUUCCCCUUCCCGCCCGCUCCCCUUUGUCCCUCAGUCGCCUUGCGCCUGCAGGACCGCCAGGACUCGGGCUUCUGGAUAAUGGGGCUGCAUCCAGGCUGAGAGGAGCAGGGUUGCCUCAGUGCCCACCAGCAGGGAGGUGCUGCAAGAGGGAAAAAAUGAGGACCAAGUAGACGUUUCCUGUGUCCAGCUGAGGGCUGACUGGAAGUCCAUCUCAAAGGACUCAGCAGGGAAAGAGCUCCAUGUGCAAAACGGUGGGUUUUUAGUUAAUUUCUGUUAGAUGAUCUAGAGGAUGACCAGUGAUGUUCUUUAGUGUAGGUGGCCAGUUUUCCUGUCACUGUUCCUUCAGGAGACUAUCCUUUCCUCGUCGCUCGUUCCUGGUUUGAUUUUCAUGAACUGACCACGUACAUAUGGGUUCAUUUCUGGGCUCUCUAUUCUUUCCUGGAGUCCAUGUGCCUGUGUUCCUGCCAGUUCGUCACUGUGGUGGUUACUACAGGUCCGUGAUGUAGUUUGAAGUGGGAGAGGAAGAUGCCUCCAGCUGUGUUCUUCUUUCUCAGAGUCUUUUUGGCCGUUUAAGGUCCGUUCAAUAUUAGCAGUCUAAUAUUGGGAAUAUUUCUAUUUCUGUGAAACAUGCCAUUGAAUAUUAUUUUGUGAUUGCAGUCAGUGUAUUUGUUGAUGACUUUUGUUGGAAUGGACAUUUUAAUUCCUCAUUGUUCCUGUGCGUGAGCGUGGAAUAGUUUUCUGUUUGUGUUUUCUUUGGUUUCUUUAUCAGUGCUUUCUAGUUUUCUGACUACUGGUCUUUUAUGUCCUUGAUUAAGUUUGUUGCCAGAUGUUUUAUUCUUUUGGAUGCAACUAUAAGUGGGAUGUUCUUAAUUUUUGUUUCUGAUUGUUAUUAGUGUAUAGAAACGCAAUUGAGUUUUGUAUAUGGAUUGGGAUUGUAAAUGAUAGUAUUUUAUAUGAUUGUAAAUUGAUCUGAAAUGAUUCAGCUUUACUGAAUGUAGUCUAACAACUUUUUGUGAAGUUAUGUGAAACAUUUUAUUUGUUAAAUCUGUUUCUCCUGCAAUAGGUCAUUCAGAGGACCC